CCUACGGGGGGCACCAGUGGGGAAUAUUGCACAAUGGGCGCGAGCCUGAUGCAGCCAUGCCGCGUGUAUGAAGAAGGCCUUCGGGUUGUAAAGUACUUUCAGCGGGGAGGAAGGUGUUGAGGUUAAUAACCUCAGCAAUUGACGUUGCCCGCAGAAGAAGCACCGGCUAACUCCGUGCCAGCAGCCGCGGUAAUACGGAGGGUGCAAGCGUUAACCGGAAUUACUGGGCGUAAAGCGCACGCAGGCGGUCUGUCAAGUCGGACGUGAAAUCCCCGGGCUCAACCUGGGAACUGCAUUCGAAACUGGCAGGCUAGAGUCUUGUAGAGGGGGGUAGAAUUCCAGGUGUAGCGGUGAAAUACGUAGUGAUCUGGAGGAAUACCGGUGGCGAAGGCGGCCCCCUGGACAAAGACUGACGCUCAGGUGCGAAAGCGUGGGGAGCAAACAGGAUUAGAUACCCCCGUAGUC
rnacentral:rRNA from 1 species